rnacentral:rRNA from 1 species
AGUAAAAUAGUUAACUUUGAAACUGCGAAUGGCUCAUUAUAUCAGUUAUAGUUUAUUUGAUGAAGAAUACUAAUUGGAUAACCGUAGUAAUUCUAGAGCUAAUACAUGUAUAAAGUCUUGUAGACUGCAUUUAUUAGAAUGAAAACCAUAGGUUUCGGCCUAUUCGUGAGUAAUAAUAACUAAUCAUAUCGUAUGCGAUUUGUAACGAUGUGUCUUUCAAGUUUCUGCCCUAUCAGCUUUCGAUGGUAGUGUAUUGGACUACCAUGG